UAGAGUUUGAUCAUGGCUCAGAGUGAACGCUGGCGGCGUGCUUAACACAUGCAAGUCGAACGAGAACGGGUUAUAGUUUACUAUAACUGUCAGCUAAGUGGCGCACGGGUGAGUAAUAUAUAGUUAACCUGCCCUAGAGAAGGGGAUAACGUUUGGAAACGAACGCUAAUACCCUAUAUGCCUUUAAGUCAUAAGACUGCAAGGGAAAUAUUUAUAGCUCUAGGAUGGGACUGUACGGUAUCAGCUAGUUGGUGAGGUAAUGGCUCACCAAGGCAAUGACGCCUAACUGGUUUGAGAGGAUGAUCAGUCACACUGGAACUGAGACACGGUCCAGACUCCUACGGGAGGCAGCAGUGGGGAAUAUUGCACAAUGGAGGAAACUCUGAUGCAGCAACGCCGCGUGGAGGAUGAC
rnacentral:rRNA from 1 species